rnacentral:rRNA from 1 species
UACGGGGGGGGCAAGUGUUAUUCGUAAUGAUUGGGCGUAAAGGGUAUUUAGGCUAUUUAAUAAGUUAUUAAUUAAAUAUCAAAUUUCAAGUUUGAUUAUUAGGUUUUAAUACUGUUUAAAUUGAGUCCGAAAUAAGAUUGUGGUACUCUCGGUGGAGAGGUAAAAUUCAUAGAUACUGAUGGGGACCAUCACUAGGCGAAAGCGGCAAUCUGGAUCGGUACUGACGCUGAAAAACUAAAGCAUGGGGAGCGAACAGG